ensembl:snoRNA SNORA70 Small nucleolar RNA SNORA70
CUGCAGCCAAUUAAGCUGAUUGAAUUCCUUUCCUUAUGGGGGUCCAGUGUGCAAUGGCUGUAAACAGCAGCUUCCUUGGUAGUGUGUGCGGCCUGUUUGUUGUAUAGGUUGCUCUAAGGGACCUUGGAGACAGGC